ensembl:rRNA 5S_rRNA 5S ribosomal RNA
GCCUAUGACCAUAUCACCCUGAAUGCGCCCGAUCUCGUCUGAUCUCGGAAGCUAAGCAUGGUCGAGCCUGAUUAGUACUUGGAUGGGAGACUACCUGGGAAUACCAGGUGUUGUAGGCU